GAUGAACGCUAGCGGCAGGCUUAACACAUGCAAGUCGAGGGGCAGCGAGAGAGUAGCAAUACUUUUGUCGGCGACCGGCGGACGGGUGCGUAACGCGUAUGCAACCUACCUUAUACAGGGGGAUAACCUUUCGAAAGGGAGACUAAUACCGCAUAACAUUACUUUGAGGCAUCUUGAGGUAAUUAAAUCUUCGGAGGUAUAAGAUGGGCAUGCGUAGCAUUAGCUAGAUGGUGCGGUAACGGCGUACCUAGCCGACGAUCUUUAGGGGUCUGAGAGGAAGGUCCCCCANACUGGUACUGAGACACGGACCAGACUCCUACGGGAGGCAGCAGUGAGGAAUAGUUGGUCAAUGGGGCGGAAGCCUGAACCAGCCAAGUAGCGUGAAAGGAUUACAGCCCUACGGGUUUUAAACUCUUUAUAUAAGAGUAAUGUGCACUACGUGU
rnacentral:rRNA from 1 species